rnacentral:rRNA from 1 species
ACGUAGGUGGCAAGCGUUAUCCGGAUUCACUGGGCGUAAAGGGUCCGUAGGUGGUUGGGAGGGUCUGGUGUGAAAGCGCCCGGCUCAACCGGGCGAGGACGUACCGAACUGCGGGACUAGAGGCAGGGAGAGGCGUGUGGAACUCCGGGUGUAGUGGUGAAAUGCGUAGAGAUCCGGAGGAACACCAGUGGCGAAGGCGACGCGCUGGGCCUGGCCUGACGCUAAGACGCGAAAGCAUGGGGAGCGAACGG